rnacentral:rRNA from 1 species
CCUACGGGUGGCAGCAGUGGGGAAUAUUGGGCAAUGGGCGCAAGCCUGACCCAGCAACGCCGCGUGAAGGAAGAAGGCUUUCGGGUUGUAAACUUCUUUUAUGAGGGACGAAACAAAUGACGGUACCUCAUGAAUAAGCCACGGCUAACUACGUGCCAGCAGCCGCGGGAAUACGUAGGGGGCAAGCGUUAUCCGGAUGUACUGGGUGUAAAGGGCGUGUAGGCGGGACGGCAAGUCAGAUGUGAACAUUAUGGGCUCAAACCAUAACCUGCAUUUGAACCUGUGGUUCUUGAGUGAGGGAGAGGCAGGCGGAAUUCCGGGUGUAGCGGUGAAAUGCGUAGAUAUACGGAGGAACACCAGUCGCGAAGGCGGCCUGCUGGACAGUAACUGACGCUGAGGCGCGAAAGCGUGGGGAGCGAACAGGAUUAGAUACCCGUGUAGUC